rnacentral:rRNA from 1 species
AAUGAACGUUGGCGGCAUGGAUUAGGCAUGCAAGUCGAGCGAGAAGAGUUUUGAAGCUUGCUUUAGAACUCGGACAGCGGCGAAAGGGAGAGUAACGCGUAGUUAUGUGCCCUAGGGUCCGGAAUAGCCACGGGAAACUGUGGGUAAUGCCGGAUAAUAUCCCCGGAUCAAAGGUGUGAUUCCGCCCUAGGAGCAGACUGCGUCCUACUAGCUAGUUGGUGGGGUAAUGGCCCACUAAGGCAAUGAUGGGUAGCGGGUGUGAGAGCAUGACCCGUCUCACUGGGACUGGGCCACUGCCCAGACCCAUACGGGUGGCUGCAGUCGAGAAUGUUCGGCAAUGGGCGAAAGCCUGACCGAGCGAUGCCGCGUGCGGGAUGAAGGCCCUCGGGUUGUAAACCGCUGUCGUAGGGGAGGAAGGUUCCGUGAAGAGCGGGACUUGACCUAUCCUAGGAGGAAGUACGGGCUAAGUUCGUGCCAGCCGCCGCGGUAA